UAAUGCUGCGGUGGGAGAAAAGAGAAAGUUAUUGUUCCCAAUUAUAUGAAGCAGUGUUGGAGGUCAGUGUGCAGCAGCAUGGAUAAAAGCAAUAUCAAUUUUUCAGAGAGACUCUGCAGCAGUGUGUCGUACAGUAUGUGUGACAGGAUUAAGGUCUGUUACCUCAAAUGCCCAGAGGUCGAGGUUCAUAAAAGCUGGGGUGAGGUUGAGUGUAAGUAUUACCACAUUAAACCAUGUCUUAUGGGGAAUACAAGAGGCCGUAAGAAAAUAGGCAGUUUCAAUAGUAAAUAGAAUACAAUCACAAGACAUGAGACGUUUCGCUUUGACAUUCCAUGGUUCAGAAGAUACAACUGUUUUUUAGUAAUUAUAUCUUGAAGGUUUCUAUUGCAUAUUUUCUACAUGGUUAUUACCAGCAGGUAGAGAUAAUAGAGGCUACUGACUUUUUUUGGGUCAAUUAUAACUAUGGCAGCUGGUCAGUGAAAUGGGAAAGCUAAUUUACAUUCUAGAUAUUUAUAUUUUGAUGUAUAUUUAUAUCUAUUUGGGUUCUCAAUCACCCCCUUAAUCAUGUAUUUUAAUAAAAAAAGUAAAUCAAGUUAAAAUAAACGAAUUAAUGAUAUGCUAUGUAAUAAUAGUUACAUAGCACGGUGGCUACAUCGGACUCAUUCGCGGGGUUAAGUCACGGAGGUCGUCAGCGGGAGAAGACGUUACGCGUUUAAAUUAAUUUAACAAACUGGUAAAAGGCGUUUAUCUUUAGUACUAAUGAGCCGUUUUGUCCCUAAGCGACAAGGCAGUAAGUAUAGCGUUGGGUCGUGUCGAGUUUAUUGUUGUAGGAAUGUUUUAUUUCUACAUUUUUAUAAUGUUAUACUUAGCGAUUAGCAUACUCGGAUUUGCCACGCUAACUACUUAGCAUAUGCAUAGCAUAUGCUAAGCGUAUGCUAAGCGGUUAGCGCGGCUGUACUCGACUUUAAAUAAAAUUGUGGUAGCACUUUAUUUAAAAUACUCCAGACAAUGUUAAAUAUAUUACGUUGAUAUUUAAUCAACGGACUCUAGAGUCAUUUUUGGAAACCAAUCGCGGUGUUAAGUCACGGAGGUUGUCAGAUGGAGAAGACGUUACGCGUUUAAAUUAUUUUUAAAAAACUGGUAAAAGGCGUUUAUCUUUAGUAGUAACGAGCUAAUUUACAUUCUAGAUAUUUAUAUUUUGAUGUAUAUUUAUAUCUAUUUGGGUUCUCAAUCACCCCCCUUAAUCAUGUAUUUUAAUAAAAAAAGUAAAUCAAGUUAAAAUAAACGAAUUAAUGAUAUGCUAUGUAAUAAUAGUUACAUAGCACGGUGGCUACAUCGGACUCAUUCGCGGGGUUAAGUCACGGAGGUCGUCAGCGGGAGAAGACGUUACGCGUUUAAAUUAAUUUAACAAACUGGUAAAAGGCGUUUAUCUUUAGUACUAAUGAGCCGUUUUGUCCCUAAGCGACAAGGCACAGGAAAAAGUCAGCAUCAUCUAUCCACACACGAGCGUGGACUUGAAGGGAAACGGUUUUGUUCUUGACACCACUCCAGAUCCUGGCAAAACAGAUCACAUCUGGAACAACAAUGCUGUGUUGUUGGCAGCAUCUGGGUCUCUGGCCGACACCGUCUUUACUAGCCUCCCAAUAUCUGCAUCUUCUGGUAACUCCACAUAGU